GACGAACGCUGGCGGCGUGCUUAACACAUGCAAGUCGAACGGAAAGGCCCUGCUUUUGUGGGGUGCUCGAGUGGCGAACGGGUGAGUAACACGUGAGUAACCUGCCCUUGACUUUGGGAUAACUUCAGGAAACUAGGGCUAAUACCGGAUAGGAGCUCCUGCUGCAUGGUGGGGGUUGGAUAGUUUCGGCGGGUGGGGAUGGACUCGCGGCUUAUCAGCUUGUUGGUGGGGUAGUGGCUUACCCAGGCUUUGACGGGUAGCCGGCCUGAGAGGGUGACCGGCGACCUUGGGACUGAGGUACGGCCCAGACUGCUACGGGAGGCAGCAGUGGGGAAUAUUGCACAAUGGGAGGAAGCCGGAUGAAGAAACCCCGCGUGCGGGAAGACGGUUUUCGGGGUGUAAACAGCUUUAGCUUGUGACGACGCGGGAGUGACGGUAAUGGGUAAAGAAGCACCGGCUAACUACGUG
rnacentral:rRNA from 1 species